rnacentral:lncRNA from 1 species
UUUUUCUUUUUUUCUUUUUUUUCAUUUUAGGGCCGCCCAUGCAGCAUAUGGAGAUUCCCAGGCUAGGAGUCGAAUCAGAGCUGCAGCUGCCGGCCUACACCACAACCAUAGCAAGGACAGAUCUGAGCUGCACCUGUAACCUAUGCCACAGCUCACAGCAAUGCCGGAUCCUUAACCCAAUGAACAAGGCCAGGGAUCAAACCCGCAUCUUCAUGGAUACUAGUCAGAUUCUUUACCACUGAGCCACAAUGGGAACUCCUGGUUUCCUUUCUUUUUUAAAAAGGCUGUUGAAGUAUAGUUGACUUACUAUGUCAUAUUAAUUUCUGCUAUACAGUAAAGGGACUCAUUUGUACAUAUUGUAAAUAGUCUUUUUCAUAUUAUUUUCCUUUAUCACAGGAUAUCGAAUAUACUACCCUAUGCUAGACAGUAGAACCUUAUUGUUUAUUGAUUCUGUAUAUUAGUUAGGAUCUGCAAAUCCUAAACUCCCAAUCCCAGUCUCCUUCACCCUUCCACUGCCUUGGCAACCACAAGUCUGUUCUCUAUGUCUGUGAAUCUGUUUCUGUUUUUUAGAUAAGUUCAUUUGUGUCAUAUUUUAAAUUCCACAUGUAAGUGAUAUAUGGUGUUUAUCUUUCUAUGACUUCACUGAAUAUGAUCAUCUCUAGUUGCUGUGAAUUUCAUGAUUUUGCUCUUUUUAUGGCUAAAUAGUAUUCCAUUAUAACUUGUACUAUAUCUUCUUAAUCCACUCUUUGAUAUACAUUUAGGUUGUUUCCAUGUCUUGUCUAUUAUAAAGCGAGUUGUUAUGAACAUAGGAGUGCAUAUAUUUUUGCAAAUUAUAGGGUUUUUUUUGGGGUAUAUCCCCUGGAGUGGGACUGUUGGAUCACAUGGCAACUCUAUUUUUAGUCUUUCUGAGAAACCUCCAUACUUUUCUGCAUAAUGGAAGUACCAAUUUACAUUCCCACCAAUGGUGUGAAAGGAUUCUAUUUUCUUCACACCCUCUCUAACAUAAUUUGUAGACUUUUAAAUGAUGGUUAUUCUGAUUGGUGUGAGGUGAUACCUUAUGGUAGUUUUGAUUUGCAUUCCUCUAAUAAUCAAUGAUGAUGAGCAUCUUUUCAUGUGCCUAUUGGCCGUCUGUGUCUUCUAUAGAGAAAUGUCUAUUUAGAUCUGUGCAUUUUUUUUAAAGGUUCUACGUUUUAUUUAUUUAUUCAUUUUGUCUUUUCUAGGGCCGCAUCCACAGCAUACGGAGGUUCCCAGGUGAGGGAUCUAAUCGGAGCUGUAGCCGCCAGCCUGCACCACAGCCCCAGCAACACGGGAUCCGAGCCACGUCUGCGACCUACACCACAGCUCAGGGCAACGCUGGAUCCCCAACCCACUGAGCGAGGGCAGGGAUCGAACCCUCAACCUCAUGGUUCCUAGUGGGACUCGUUAACCACUGAGCCACGAAGGGAACUCCCGNGCAUUUUUUGAUUGGGUUUGGUUUUUUGGUUUUUUUUGGUUAAUAGUUGUAUUAACUAUUUGUUUAUUUUGGAAAUUAAGCAGUUGUCAGUUGCAUUGUUUGUAAAUAUUUUUUCCCCAGGCCAUAGGUGUUUUAUUUUUUUAUUUUGUUUAUGGUUUCCUUUGUGUACAGAAGUUUGUAAUUUUGAUUAGGUUCCAUUGUUUAUUUUUGUUUUUAUUUCCAUUGCCUUGUGAGACUGACCUGAGAAAACAUUGGUACAAUUUGUCUGAUAAUGUUUUGUCUAUGUUCUCUUCUAGGAGUUUUAUGGUGUCAUGCCUUUUAUUUAAGUCUUCAAGCCAUUUCGAGUUUAUUUUUGUGCAGAGUGUGAGGGUGUGUUCUAACUUCACUGAUUCACAUGAGGCUGUCUAACUUUUCCAACACCAUUUGCUAAAAAGACUUUUUUUUCCCAUUUUAUGUUCUUGCCUCCUUUGUAGAAGACUGAGUGUAGGUUAUGUGGGUCUAUUUCUGGGCUCUUUAUGCUGUUCCACUGAAUCAUAUGUCUGUUUUUAUACUACUACUACAUUGUUAUGAUUACAGUAACUUUGUUGUAGUAGUGUAUGAAAUCUGGGAGGGUUAUGCCUCCUGCUUUGUUCCUGUUCUUAAGGAUUGCUUUGGCAAUUCUAGGUCUUUUUUGGUUCCCUACACAUUUUUUUUUGGCCACACCCUCAGCGUGUGGACGUCACUGGGCCAAUGAUGGAGUCCACACUAUGGCAAAGACCCUAGAUGCUGCACUGACAACUCCAGUUCCUUAACCCACUGCACAAGAGAACUCCCUCCACAUAAAUUUUUGGAUUAUUCUAGUUCUAUGAAAAAUGUCAUAGGUAAUUUGAUAGGGAUUACAGCAAAUCAGAUUGCUUUGGGUAGUAUUGUCGUUUUAAUAAUACUAAUACCUCCAAUACAAAUGGGAUAUCUUUCCAUUUCUUUGAAUCAUCUUCAGUUUCCUUUAUUAAUGUUUUAUAGUUCUUAGCAUAUAAGGCUUUCUCCACCUUGGUGAAGUUUAUUCCUAAGUAUUUUUUUUCUACAAUUUUAAAAGAGAUUGUUUGCAUUCCCUUUUUUAUAUUUGUUAGUAUACAGAAAAGGAACCAAUUUCUCUAUGUUAAUCUUGUAUCCUGCAACUUUGCUGAAUUCAUUAAUCAGUUCUAGUGGAGAAUGUAACAGUUUAUUCAGUUUCUGUGUGGAGUCUUUAGGGUUUUCUAUUUAUAGCAUCAUGUUCAUUUUCAUAUAAUUGCAAUUUUAUCUCUUCUCUACCAAUUUGAAUACCUUUUAUUUCUCUCUGUUGUCUGAUUACUAGGUUUUCCACUACUGUGUUGAAGACAAGCUGUGAGAGUGGGCAUCCUUGUCUCAUUCAAGAUUUUAACAGGAAGGCUUUUUUAGCUUUGCACCAUUUAUUAUAUUGGCUAAUGGCUUUUAUCAUGUUGAGUUAUGUUCCCUAUGUAC